rnacentral:rRNA from 1 species
CUACGGGGGGCACCAGGCGAGAAAACUUUGCAAUGUGCGAAAGCACGACAAGGUUAAUCCGAGUGGUUUCUGCUAAAGGAACCUUUUGUCGGUCCUAGAAACACCGAUGAAUAAGGGGUGGGCAAGUUCUGGUGUCAGCCGCCGCGGUAAAACCAGCACCUCAAGUUGUCAGGAUGAUUAUUGGGCCUAAAGCAUCCGUAGCCGGCUCUGUUAGUUUUCGGUUAAAUCUGUAUGCUCAACAUACAGGCUGCCGGGAAUACUACAGAGCUAGGGAGUGGGAGAGGUAGACGGUACUCGGUAGGAAGGGGUAAAAUCCUUUGAUCUAUUGAUGACCACCUGUGGCGAAGGCGGUCUACCAGAACACGUCCGACGGUGAGGGAUGAAAGCUGGGGGAGCAAACCGGAUUAGAUACCCCCGUAGUC